rnacentral:rRNA from 1 species
UACGUAGGGUGCAAGCGUUGUCCGGAAUUAUUGGGCGUAAAGGGCGCGUAGGCGGCCUGCUAAGUCGGACGUGAAAUCCCUCGGCUCAACCGAGGAACUGCGUCCGAUACUGGUGGGCUUGAAUCCGGGAGAGGGAUGUGGAAUUCCAGGUGUAGCGGUGAAAUGCGUAGAUAUCUGGAGGAACACCGGUGGCGAAGGCGGCAUCCUGGACCGGUAUUGACGCUGAGGCGCGAAAGCUAGGGGAGCAAACGGG